AGAGUUUGAUCAUGGCUCAGAUUGAACGCUGGCGGCAGGCCUAACACAUGCAAGUCGAGCGGUAGAGAGGUGCUUGCACCUCUUGAGAGCGGCGGACGGGUGAGUAAUACCUAGGAAUCUGCCUGAUAGUGGGGGAUAACGUUCGGAAACGGACGCUAAUACCGCAUACGUCCUACGGGAGAAAGCAGGGGACCUUCGGGCCUUGCGCUAUCAGAUGAGCCUAGGUCGGAUUAGCUAGUUGGUGAGGUAAUGGCUCACCAAGGCUACGAUCCGUAACUGGUCUGAGAGGAUGAUCAGUCACACUGGAACUGAGACACGGUCCAGACUCCUACGGGAGGCAGCAGUGGGGAAUAUUGGACAAUGGGCGAAAGCCUGAUCCAGCCAUGCCGCGUGUGUGAAGAAGGUCUUCGGAUUGUAAAGCACUUUAAGUUGGGAGGAAGGGCAUUAACCUAAUACGUUAGUGUUUUGACGUUACCGACAGAAUAAGCACCGGCUAACUCUGUGCCAGCAGCCGCGGUAAUACAGAGGGUGCAAGCGUUAAUCGGAAUUACUGGGCGUAAAGCGCGCGUAGGUGGUUUGUUAAGUUGAAUGUGAAAUCCCCGGGCUCAACCUGGGAACUGCAUCCAAAACUGGCAAGCUAGAGUAUGGUAGAGGGUAGUGGAAUUUCCUGUGUAGCGGUGAAAUGCGUAGAUAUAGGAAGGAACACCAGUGGCGAAGGCGACUACCUGGACUGAUACUGACACUGAGGUGCGAAAGCGGGGGGAGCAAACAGGAUUAGAUACCCUGGUAGUCCACGCCGUAAACGAUGUCAACUAGCCGUUGGGAGUCUUGAACUCUUAGUGGCGCAGCUAACGCAUUAAGUUGACCGCCUGGGGAGUACGGCCGCAAGGUUAAAACUCAAAUGAAUUGACGGGGGCCCGCACAAGCGGUGGAGCAUGUGGUUUAAUUCGAAGCAACGCGAAGAACCUUACCAGGCCUUGACAUCCAAUGAGCUUUCUAGAGAUAGAUUGGUGCCUUCGGGAACAUUGAGACAGGUGCUGCACGGCUGUCGUCAGCUCGUGUCGUGAGAUUUUGGGUUAAGUCCCGUAACGAGCGCAACCCUUGUCCUUAGUUACCAGCACGUAAUGGUGGGCACUCUAAGGAGACUGCCGGUGACAAACCGGAGGAAGGUGGGGAUGACGUCAAGUCAUCAUGGCCCUUACGGCCUGGGCUACACACGUGCUACAAUGGUCGGUACAAAGGGUUGCCAAGCCGCGAGGUGGAGCUAAUCCCAUAAAACCGAUCGUAGUCCGGAUCGCAGUCUGCAACUCGACUGCGUGAAGUCUGAAUCGCUAGUAAUCGUGAAUCAGAAUGUCACGGUGAAUACGUUCCCGGGCCUUGUACACACCGCCCGUCACACCAUGGGAGUGGGUUGCACCAGAAGUAGCUAGUCUAACCUUCGGGAGGACGGUUACCACGGUGUGAUUCAUGACUGGGGUGAAGUCGUAACAAGGUA
rnacentral:rRNA from 1 species